AACUUUUAGCAAUGGAUCUCUUGGCUCUCGCAUCGAUGAAGAAAGCAGCGAAAUGCGAUAAGUAAUGUGAAUUGCAGAAUUCAGUGAAUCAUCGAAUCUUUGAACGCACCUUGCGCCCCUUGGUUAUUACUUGGGGCAUGCCUGUUUGAGUAUCAUGAACACCUCAACUCUCACGGUCUUCCGCGACGAGCUUGGACUUUGGGGGUUUGCUGGCCCUGCGGCCGGCUCCUCUCAAACAAAUCAGCUUGCCAGUGUUUGGCGGCAUCUCACGGGUGUGAUAACUAUCUACGCUCGCGGUUGUCUGCCAGGUAACCCUCAGCAAUGAAGGUUCAUUGGGGCUCAUAAACGUCUCUCCUCGGCGAGGACAGCUUUUGAACGUUCGAUCUCAAAUCAGGUAGGACUACCCGCUGAACUUAAGCAUAUCAAUAAGCGGAGGCU
rnacentral:misc_RNA from 1 species